GGGGAAUAUUGGACAAUGGGGGCAACCCUGAUCCAGCAAUGCCGCGUGUGUGAAGAAGGUCUUCGGAUUGUAAAGCACUUUCGACGGGGACGAUGAUGACGGUACCCGUAGAAGAAGCCCCGGCUAACUUCGUGCCAGCAGCCGCGGUAAUACGAAGGGGGCUAGCGUUGCUCGGAAUGACUGGGCGUAAAGGGCGUGUAGGCGGUUUACACAGUCAGAUGUGAAAUCCCCGGGCUUAACCUGGGAGCUGCAUUUGAUACGUGUAGACUAGAGUGUGAGAGAGGGUUGUGGAAUUCCCAGUGUAGAGG
rnacentral:rRNA from 1 species